rnacentral:lncRNA from 10 species
UGAGAGCUGUCAGAGGAGUACAUCUGUCACCCGCUGCCUCCCCCGCCCACCCCGCCGCCGGGACCCGCGGCCGCGCCAGCCCGAGCGCGAGUGGGAGCGCCCCGCGCGGCGCCGCUGCCGCAGAGGGCCGGGGACGCGACGGCCACCGCCAAGUGGGAGACUCCUGGAAGGAUAAAGCUCAAUAUCCAGUUCAGGAAAUGGGAAACACUGAUAUAUGACUCAUCCCAUGGAACAGAAUAUAGUCUACGUGGAAUGUCACACUGUGCUUCUAGUGGCAAAGUUUGCAUAUAUGUAUGUAUCAGUGUAUCUUUAAAUUUGCCUUUGUGUUGCAAGCACUUGUUAUAUCCUUCCUAUUAUUCCUAUUAUUUAAAUCAAUUUUUAUUUUGCAAGACUACUGGUAAAGAUUUUGGAAUGAAAUGUUUCUGGGGAACCGAGUCACCCUAAUUUAAAAAAUAAAAAUAUCUCAGUAAUUUGGACAAUAGGUUUAAUGUAUGAGGUUAAAUAUAUACCUGCUUAUUAUAAAUAUGCAGAAUCAUUUCUUGUUUAGAAAAUAUUUCAAAUAUUUUAUGGAAUAAUUACAGAUUAUUUGUGUUCAGUUGGCAAUGUUCUAGCCGAACAACUUAUAAUUAAAAAUGUAAAUAAAGAAGUGUCAUUAGUCUAAAAACUUGCAGUUCAUUUUUGCUACAACUUCACUUCAAUUUUGCCCUUUUUGCAACUGCAAUUGCCCCUUCAAUUCGCCAUUUACAACUGCAAUUCAAAUCAAGAUUCUUUAAGUUUUGCUCUUAUACUGAUUUAUCCCACUUAUCUUGCUUUGCUUAACUCAAAUUUGGAUAAUAGGUUUCUGCUCAGCGUUGUUCCUCAUCUGCUUCUGGCUCACACAAAAUUUCAGGACAGUGUUGUCACCUUGACAUGUGAAACCAAGGUCUUGCUCCUUUCCUACACCAGCGGCUAGACCUCUGAGUUCUAAAUCCCUUUCCAGAUUCAUUCAGUCCAGCUCUUCCAGGAGUAGGUAAAUCUUUCCUGAGUUUACCUACUGAUGUUUAACACUAUAUGUUACUACCUCCACAUGCCUUUCCACUGGACUCGCUACUUCAUGUCAUAAAAAUCUUUGGAUGCUUUUACUAUGUCUGAAUAACUUCCCAUCACUCAACUGAAAAAAUCCACAAAUUAGAUUGACUUCUGGGUUCCAGCAAUUCAGGCUUACCUGGGCUUUUGUGAACCAAGUUUUUAAUCUUAUGUCAUCCUGAAAUAACAUACAAAGCAAAUAUGUAUUCCACCACUUUUCAUAUGUGUCUGGGACGUAUUCAUAGUCAUCACUGAGUAUAUUUUGGGAUUCAAAAUUUUCCUUUUCAUUACUGUAAUAAUCUUAAGCAUAUUUUUAUCAUCUGUAUAACCAUACAGCUGGAUAAUUUGGAACUUAGUGUUGCCACUAUUUAUCACUUUGGUUUACAUUCAUGUUUAUUAUCACAUUGGUGCCCAACACUACUGCUUUUAUUAUUUGUGAAUAAUAAAAAUUUAACACUCGAUUGUUCACUCUAAGUUAAUGCCAAGCGAUAUGAUGGCAUGCUGCAUAAAUGAAGGUGCUACAUAGUUAAAUUGGAAAAAGUGGUAGAGGAACAGCAUCACCAUAGUGCACUCAUAGUCAUUGUAAACUUCAGGCAUGUGGAGAUUAGCGUUGACACACAAACACUCAUAAACAAAUUCAUGUUUGAGAUAGGAUUUGAUUUCAGCAAAGCAACAUCAUCUGUUGUAUUAAAUUAAGUUGGGAAAUUUGGAUAUUUUGCCUGUUGUAUUUUCAUUUGAUUUCUUUUUUUUUGGUUUGUGUUUACAUAAGAGCUAUAAGCAUAUGGGGUUGUAUAAUUAGUUUGAUGUUAACAUAUUUAAGUAAAAUUAUGCCUCAAGUGAACUUAGUGUAUUCAAGAGAAUAUUUAAGAAAAUGUCUAUAUGAUAUUUAGUAUGAGAAACGCUGAUCUAUACUAGUCAUGGGAUAUAUAUUGAAUACCAAAACUGAUAUUACCUGAAGAUGAUAAUGCAAUUGUAUUAUUUUAUGGGUGAUGGUUAAAAUUUUAAGGUAAUUAUUAGAUAAUAAUUUCCUAAAAGUAGCUCCAUGAUCAUAACCCUGUUUCUGUAUUCAAAUUCGGCUGAGUUGAAAUAUGGUCCUGUUAAAAGCAAGGAUCAAUAAAUUGUCACUGAUUAUAAGACAUAUAUAAAGAUGUUACAAACAGAAAGGCAUCUUCUAAUCAAGGAAGUGUGAAACCUAUAUUUGUGUGGAUUCUAUCACAAUUAACACCUUAUUACAAACCACUGUAAGGCACCUUCAACUAAAACAACUUUUGAAUAUUGGGCAAAUAAUUAUUCAGACUCCCUUAACUUCACUUAUUUAACCUUUGAAAGAAAGGGAAUAAGCAAGAUAUUAUCUUAUGUUUUUUCAAGCUUAAUUAUCUGAUUCUCUGGCAACUUGCCUAGAGCUGAUGUUGAUUAUGCCUGGCAGAACAGAAUACCAACUUAGCUCCCCACUUGAAGAUGUGUCUCUUGAAUAGCUGGUAUAACUGUAGAAAUUGUGGAAAUGUGGAAAUUGAUACAAAUGUAAAAAGGAUUAGAGAGAAAUUUCAUAAUUUUUCUGGAUUCAACCUUAAUAAGUAGAUAAACUAAUUUAAUUAUGCAACUUUUUACAUCUUAAAAGAAUGAUAGAGCACUUGUUAGGCUGUAAAAAAUAUUUAGGUGAUAUUUAUAUUUUUCAAGCAUUUUUGCCCCUUACUUUUUAAUUCUAAUAAGUAGCCUUGGGAUAAAUGCCAAAACAAUGCAAACUGGAAAGCCAAAGCUACAUUUCUAAUAUGUUGCCAAAAAAAUUAAUGCAAUUGGAUGACAUGUAAUUAAUUUACCAAAAGGAAUAAAUUUAAGAUAUAUUAUUAUGAGUAAAGAAGAAAAGAUGAACAAUAACUACAUUCCUGUGUUUUAUUCCCUUUUUUGAAUGAAAUUUUGUAAUAUCUAUUAAAAUUAAAAUUACAGCUAACCUUAUAUCUAGCCAUUGCAUUCCUGGGACUUGUUACGUAGAGUAAAAUUACCAGUAUAAACUGAUAUUUACAAGAACACUUAAUGUAACAUUAAGGUAACAUUCUUAGCUUAACAUUAUAAUUAUAAAAAAGCUGGAAACAAAGAAAGUCAUUUUCAAUAAUGAAAUAGUUGCAUAAAUUAUGGUGUAUAUCAUAAUUAUGAUAUAUUAUGAUAUAUUUCACAGACUUUCAUAUACCUAUUAAAAUAAUAAAGUUUAUACACAUUGAUUAGGUAGGAUUUUCUAGUUGUUUUAUUAUAUAAAAAUGUAUAUUACAAACAAGAGAGUAGAUUAGGAUUUAGUUUUGUAUAAAAACAAGAACAAGUGUACAUUUUUGUGAAAGAAUAAACAGAUAUUAAUAAGGUAAGGGUGCAUGUAUUUUGUCAUCAUGAGUUUCUUAGUGUCCGGUAAGUGGGAGAAGAAAGAACUAGAAGAGAAGGAGAAAGAUGGUAUGGGGGAAGAUAAAGGUGACAAGCAGGCACCUACAGACACAUAUUGUUUCUGGGUUAAAAACAAAGGGAAAAAGGAAGCAUUGGUGGGAGGGAGGAAGAUACAAAUACCGCUCUAGUUAGGAUGUAAAGAACUGAUUCUAGGAGAUAUGUAAACUCAGGGAGAAUAUUAAGAAGAUACUGAAAUGAAAGUAAUUGGUCUAAGAUGUUAAGUAAAGAUGGGGAGGAGGGACAGAUUGAGGAAAUUGUUUAUAAAAUUUGGAUUCAUUUUGGAUAUACAAAUAGAGAUAGUGAGAUGUGCAGGUAUAAAAUAUGGAGUCAGGAUCAGAACCGAUUUGGGAGCCACUGGCAUAUCAAUGCCAUUUAUAAGCAAGGACUGCAUGAGAUCAUGUGAGAGCUUAUACAGAUAGAUAAAGAGCCCCAGGACAGAUCAGGGGUGACCUGAGAAGCAACAGCUAAAAAGGGAGAUAGAAAACAAGCUCCUGGGAGAAGAUUGUAAAGCCAAGAAAAUAAGAUGCCUCAUAAAUCCUUCCUUCCAAUGCAAAAAGUUAGUUUUAAGGAAAGAGUAACCAACUGUGAGGAAUGCUACUGAUAGCUUUUAAGAAAAAUGAGAUGAAUAAAUGAUCUCAAUUUGGCCAUCUUGAAGGUCAUUGGUGACUUUAACAAAGUAAUAUCUAGAAUAUACUAACAAGACUGCAUAUAAUUUACAAAAACUAAAUUCUGCAGCACAGUUGAGUAAUCAGGCAUCUGUGCUAUUCAUAUGAGAGAAAUUUUGUAGAAAUAGUUCUCUAUGUAGUACAGAUGUGGCCAGAUUUAAGAAAAGUAUAGGAAGUUAAGACACAAUACUGUUCCAUAACACAACUUUUGUAUAUACUCAAACUGUUCUCUUCUCUACCAUACCCCUUUCUGAUAAGAAGAUGUGGGAAUUUCCACUGAGGUUUCAAAUUUAUGUAUGGUCAUGUUGACUUAGAACAAGAUAAAUAUUAAUUAAAACUACAUAGAUUUCAUUAACAUAAAAUAUAUUUGUCUUAGUCAUUUUAAAAUACUGUAAUAAAUAUACCAUUACUGAAUGUCUUAAGCAAUAGAAAUUUAUUCCUAUGGUUCUGAGGGCUGGAAAGUCCAAGAUCAAGGUGCCAGCUCAUUCAGAUUCUGAUGAAAGUCCUCUUCCUGGUUUGCAGAUGGAUGCCAUCUUCCUGUAACCUCAUGGCAGUUUUAACAAAUACUUUUAUAUGUUUAUUUGGUAACAUGAAACGGGUGCCUUGCAAAAUUCAGAUGGCAAUAUUUGGUAGUAUAAUAUUCCUAAAAAUAAAUGUGGAAAUAUGUAUCUGUGUGUCAUAAAUUCCACUUCCAUUCCACUAUCGAUGUAGCUUUGUCUGUUAGAUCACCCAAUUGCCUACCAAAAUUAAUUUAUCCAUGGAAUACUCCUAAACCAAACAAGCCCAAGAGGCUCAUGCUAAGUUUUAGGGCUGACCAAUAAUGUUUUUUGUACCUGAACUCUAAGAAGCUCAGGAAGAACUGAUGGGCAUUAUUUCUAUAAUGUAUUAUUCUAGAGAGGUCAAGAAUGGAGAAUGUCCCUAAAGAUAUAUUCUUAAGAUCUACUUGGUUUAAUAUUUUAUUUAUAUAUGACACCUUUGAAUCUUUAUAAUAAAAUUCCUCAUAUAAAUUUAGUAAGAAUUGGAUUAAUGUAACUGAUUUCAUCUAUAAUAUAUAAUCUUUAACUCUUUCAUGAGGAUUCUGAAUUCUAGUUAUAAAUAUUGAGGAAGAAAAAAGAUAUUUGUUUAUCUAUUACGUAUGAUAGAUGAACAGCAUGAGUGAUAAUAUUUAAACAAUGAAAAAAUUUAAACAAUUCAAAUAAUACACAAGAUAUAUUAUUGGAAGUAAUAUAUUAAAAAUUAUAUCUGAUAUAAAAUCAUAAACAUUAAAUAAAAAUAUACAACAACAUAUAACAUUUAUGCUAUUUUAGUGGCAUGAGAAAAUCAUCAUGAAGAAAAUGUUACAAAAGUGACAGGAUAUAAGAUUGAAUUUGUAUAUACACAAAAACACCCCCUCACAUGCAUAGGUACGUACACAAAUAAUAUACACAAAGAAAAAAAUUGACAUUAAAAUAUUGUAACAACAAAUUCUGGCAAGGCUGCUGAGAAAAUAGAAUACUUAUACACUGUUGGUGGAAAUGCAAAUUAGUUCAGCCACUAUGAAAAACAGUUUGGAGAUUUCUCUGAGAACUUUAAACAGAACUAGCAUUCAAGCCAGCAAUACCAUUACUGUGUAUAUAUCCAAAAGAAAACAAAUCAUUCUACCAAAAAUACCCAUGCACUCAUAUGUUCAUCACAGCACUAUUUUUAUAAUAUCAAAGACAUGAAAUCAACCUAGGUACCCAUCUACAGUGGAUUGGAUAAGGAAAUGUUAUACAUAUACAUCAUGGCGUACUACACAACCAUAAAAAAGAACAAAAUCAUGUCCUUUGUAGCAACAUGGAUGCAACUGGAGGCCAUUAUCCUAAGCGAAUUAAUGCGCAGGAACAGAAAACCAAAUACUGUAUGUUCUCACUUUAUAGUAGAUGCUAAACAUUUAGUACUCAUGAAAAUAAAGAUGGCAACAAUAGACAUUGAGGACUACUAAAGGGGUAAGGGAGGGAAAAAGGAAUUGUUGAAAAAGUACCUUUGGGAUUCUUUGCUCAGUACCUGAGUAAUGGUAUCAUUUCUACCCUAAACGUCAACAUUAUGUAAUAUACCCAUGUAACAAACCUGCCCAC